GUUCAAUCCCCGUCUUUUAAGCCCAAAUUGGAAUAAAACCACCCCAUUUUCUUUUCAACCUAGUACUAGCCCAGCCAAGCCCAGCCAGCGCCUUUCAAAUCGAAUCAAAAUUAAGCCAUCAUCAUAAGAGGAAUCUCAAACGGUGCCGUUUCACCUUGCUUCAGAUGGCGUGCAUAAUAGAAGAUGGAGAAGGAUAGGGAGAGCGCGUUGGGUAAGAGUUCAGUAGCUUUUGCGUGAGAGAGAACUAUGGAUGAUGAUGAUGAUGAUGAUGAUGAUCGAAGGAUGAAGAAGCCGCGUUCGAAGAGGAAGGUGAAUUUGCGAAGCAUUUCAUCGAAGCUCGAGAAAGAAGAAGCUGGUAACCGCAAUGGUCUUCUUCUUUUAUGGGUCUUAGUUGACGGAACUGCAGAUCUGUUUCAUUAUUCAGUUGUUUAGAAUGUGAUUUAUAUCCAUGUACAUAAUUAGAAGGACAAAAGUUCCACAAAAAUGGCAU
rnacentral:lncRNA from 1 species